ensembl:lncRNA
CCCCUCCCUCCUCCCUCCCCUCUCUCCCCUCUCUCCCUUUGCCGCCACCAUCUCUGGACUUUGAAACCCAUAAUGUUCUUCAUAUUGCACAUUUCAAUCUAUUUACUUUUUAAACUAUUUUAUGUGUAGUUUUGUUUUGCCUUACCUUGGCACUAUUCAGAAUUAUUUUGCACUAUUCUUUGCACUAUUUAUUUAUUAGUUAUUUACUUUUCUCCUUCUCUCCUCAUGCACCGUGGGUUGAGACAAACGCUAUUCGAUCCCUCCGUUGGUCUGGCACAUCAUCUGGAGUUAACAAUAAAGCUGACUUUGACUUGGAUCCCCACCAUGUAAUAGUUUCACAAAAGCCUUAAAAUACAUUCCUAUAGACUGCAUAAUCUACCCACAUUAUAUGAAUCUGAGAAUAUAUACAAAAUAAUAUUGAAUGCAUAACCACAUAUAUCCUCCAUACAAUAUCUUAAAUUGUGUUUCAGUAUGACAUUCAGUCACUCUCAAGACGAACGCACAAAAGGGACUGAGCUCUGAUUGGCUGGUCGGUGCGCUGAGCGUGUGUGUGUGUGUGUGUGUGUGUGCGCGCAGUCGCUGCGUUGGUGGCAGAGUAGUGAAUGGGCAGAGAGAGGGGUGUGCUCUGAGAGGCAGACACACCAUCGGCAGGCAGAGCAGGAGCAGCACACACAACCUCCCCGCACAACCUCCACGCACAACCUCCACGCACAGCCUCCACGCACAACCUCCACGCACAACCUCCCCGAGAGAGAGAGAGAGAGAGAGAGGGAGGGAGAGCAAGUAAGAGGAGCAAAACAGGGACGGGGUUAAGGCCGAGAGACAAGUGAGCCCUCAUCACAUCGCUAUUAUCUUUGGGCCAUCUCUCAGUGAGCCAUCACCCAUCAUGGGAGCAUUUGAUUAGGAUCUCUGCAGAAUCAUAAC